rnacentral:lncRNA from 1 species
UUUUAGAGGUGGAACCGCGAUGCGAGACAGAUCGUCGAAAUGAAGAAUUUCGAGGAGUGUCGAAGCCGAGGAAUUUUAAAUCGAUCGAUCCAUCAGGAUGUUGAAUAACUCGUUGGAUUUGAGAUUUUUCGGGAUAUGAACGAAUAGGCUGUGUAAUAGCAUCAAAGUGCCAUUCAUUAUUAUGGAUGACUUCUUCCCAAAUCAAGGGUUUUGGGACAAAGACAUUGGAUCUGUCUUUAUUGGCCUCCAUAAGAGUGGUGACACCCCUAGGGCUAGUGAAUCGAGCCUGGGGUGCUAAAGUUGUACCCAUCAGUCGAUAGUAUACUCU